AUCUAAGGCUGCACCACCUGGAACCUGCUGAUCUCAGAAGCUAAGCAUGGUCAGGCCUGGCUAGCACUUCAAAGGGAGAAACCAUGUGUAGGCCUGGUGCGGUAGCUC
rnacentral:rRNA from 1 species